rnacentral:rRNA from 1 species
AGCAGCCGCGGUAAUUCCAGCUCCAAUAGCGUAUAUUAAAGUUGUUGCAGUUAGAAAGCUCGUAGUUGAAUUUCGGGAUCGACGGGUCGGUCGCGCCUCUGGUGUGUACUGGCCCUGUCGGUUUCUCCCUUCUGACGAACCACGAUGUCAUUAAUUUGGUGUCGUGGGAAAUCAGGACUGUUACUUUGAAAAAAUUAGAGUGUUUAAAGCAGGCAUUCGCUUGAAUACAUUAGCAUGGAAUAAUGAAAUAGGACGUUUGAUCUUAUUUUGUUGGUUUCUAAGAUCGACGUAAUGAUUAAUAGGGAUAGUUGGGGGCAUUAGUAUUCAAUUGUCAGAGGUGAAAUUCUUGGAUUUAUUGAAGACUAACUACUGCGAAAGCAUUUGCCAAGGAUGUUUUCAUUAAUCAAGAACGAAAGUUAGGGGAUCGAAGACGAUCAGAUACCGUCGUAGUCUUAACCAUAAACUAUGCCGACUAGGGAUCGGAUGAUGUUAAUUUUUAAUGUACUCAUUCGGCGCCUUA